CGCGACGCGGUUUCCUCACCCUUCUCCCUUUCUCUGCCCGGCGCCGCCACCCCUCUCCUCGCCGCGCCGCAGGCUGGACUCAUCGGGCUUGGCACCGAUGGCGACGGCCGACGCCGCCUUCCCUCACCACAGCGGACACAGACGGACGUGUCUCCCCUGGUUUCUCACCGAACGAAAGGAGCAGCCCCACUGUCGCAAGAAUGUACAAGGAAAAGGGGAAGGAGAGUAGGAGGAGAAGGAGAAGGAGAAGGAGAGGAGCUUGGUGUCCAUUAUGAAGACUAAGCCGCUUGUCCCAGGAAGCAAAAGGGGAAGGGCAAGGGCAAGGGUUGUGUCGCCGUAGAGGAAGCGGGCCAAGGAUUACGGCAAUGUCCCGCUUGCCGAGUUGUUAUUAAGGGUAAAAAAAGCUCCGCCGCCUUGACGUCUCGCCGACCUUGCCGACGCCAAGAGCCGCACCAACCCCACUGUCCGCCGCUGGAUGGCGGAUCUCAAGACCGCCGCCUACCAAGCCGACCACGUCCUCGAAAACUUCCGCUACGAGGCGCUGUGGCGCUGUGCCGACAACCACAUCUGCGGCCCCUCCUCCGCAAUGGAGCAUGAUAAGCAAGCGGAGAAGGAUUAUGAAGAGGAGGAAGAGAAUGAGGAGGAUGAGAAUGAGCAAGGUACUGUGUUUGAGGAGGAAGAUUCUCAUUUUGAUGUCAAAGCGUCAAGUGUUAUGCUAUGCAAAAUUGCAUUGUUUGGCUAUCAACGUUCAAUAUUUCUGCCGUAUAAAGUUCAAAGGAGGAGCUGUCCAAAAUUCAAAAGCAAUGAUGCCCAAUUCUUUUCAUUACUAUGACCAUUUUUUAAACUGCUAGAUGUUGUGUUUUUUGCAAUAUAAAGUGCUUCUUUUCCAAAUUAUGGCUUUAAUUGCUGUAGAAGAUCAAAACUGGCCUUUAAAAACAGGUUCUGUUGUGUUCAAAAAAUAAAUAAAAUAAAAACAGGUUCUGUUACAUCCCAGCUGCUAUGACGCCAGUUGGCUCACGAACCGGCUCGGUUUGAGCCGAGCCAUAGCAAAAACGAGCUGAGCCGUCUAAAGCAGGCUCGUUGGCUGAGCGAGCCGAGCCGAGCCGAGCCGCUUGAGAGCGAGCCAAAGCAGGCUCGGAUUAAACUCGGCUUGGCUCGGCUCGUGUCCAGCCCUACUGGUGGCUGCUGGCCGGCAUCUCGCCCUCUCGUCGCCGAUGCCGGAUAGAGCGAUGCGGGGACGCCGGCGACGGCGGGUGGCUGCUGGCCGGCAUCUCGCCCUCUCGUCGCCGAUGCCGGAUAGAGCGAUGCGGGGACGCCGGCGA